rnacentral:rRNA from 1 species
UCGGGUUGUAAAGCACUUUUGUCCGGAAAGAAAACUUCUGCAUUAAUACUGUGGGAGGAUGACGGUACCGGAAGAAUAAGCACCGGCUAACUACGUGCCAGCAGCGCGGUAAUCGUAGGGUGCGAGCGUUAAUCGGAAUUACUGGGCGUAAAGCGUGCGCAGGCGGUUCGUUAAGACAGAUGUGAAAUCCCCGGGCUUAACCUGGGAACUGCAUUUGUGACUGGCGAGCUAGAGUAUGGCAGAGGGGGGUAGAAUUCCACGUGUAGCAGUGAAAUGCGUAGAGAUGUGGAGGAAUACCGAUGGCGAAGGCAGCCCCCUGGGCCAAUACUGACGCUCAUGCACGAAAGCGUGGGGAGCAAACAGGAUUAGAUACCCUGGUAGUCCACGCCCUAAACGAUGUCAACUAGUUGUUGGGGAUUCAUUUCCUUAGUAACGUAGCUAACGCGUGAAGUUGACCGCCUGGGGAGUACGGUCGCAAGAUUAAAACUCAAAGGAAUUGGCGGGGACCCGCACAAGCGGUGGAUGAUGUGGAUUAAUUCGAUGCAACGCGAAAAACCUUACCUACCCUUGACAUGGUCGGAAUCUUGCUG